rnacentral:ncRNA from 1 species
UGCUUAUCAAAAACGUUGGUCUCCGCAAAGUCGUAAGACCAUGUAUGGGAGCUGAUGCAUGCCCAUUGCUGGAAGGGUCAAGGAAGUUGGUGACCUGAUAACAGGGAGCUGACGGCCAAAGACCGGGUAAACGGCGGCCAUAAAUUUAACCGUCUUAAGGUAACGAAAUUCAUCGGGUAAGUUUCGAUCCUCAUGAAAGGCGAA